UUACGGCCAUAUCGCGUUAAAACACCGGUUCUCGCACGAUCACUGUAGUUAAGCAACGUCGAGCUUGUUCAGUACGUAGAUGGCUGACCACAUGAGAAUACCUGGUGGU